ACGAGUUUGAUCCUGGCUCAGAGCGAACGUUUGCGGCGGGCUUAACACAUGCAAGUCGAACGAGAAUCCCUUCGGGGAGGAAAGUGGCGCACGGGUGCGUAACACGUGGAUAACCAACCCAUUGGUUUGGGACAACACCGGGAAACUGGUGCUAAUACCAGAUGUGUCGCAGCUGUCUUCAGGCGGUUGCGAGAAAGGCCCGCAAGGGUCGCCAACGGACGGGUCCGCGUCCCAUCAGCUAGUUGGUGAGGUAAUGGCUCACCAAGGCAAAGACGGGUAGCUGGUCUGAGAGGAUGAUCAGCCACACUGGAACUGAGACACGGUCCAGACUCCUACGGGAGGCAGCAGUGGGGAAUAUUGCGCAAUGGGCGAAAGCCUGACGCAGCCACGCCGCGUGAGCGAUGAAGGUCUUCGGAUCGUAAAGCUCUGUGGGGGGAGAAGAAGAAAGCCGGUGAAGAGCCGGCCCUGACGGUAUCCCCUUAGCAAGCACCGGCUAACUCCGUG
rnacentral:rRNA from 1 species